AGCGAGACUUUUAUGUUAUAUUAAAUAUUAUUAUUUUGUUUAUUUUAAUAUAAAUAAUUAAUAUUUUAAUAACAGAUUAAUAGUGUUUAACUAUUUGAGAGAGAGCGAUAACAGGUCUGUGAUGCCCUUAGAUGUCCGGGGCUGCACGCGCGCUACAAUGUAGUGAUCAUUAUGUUCCUGUUUAGAGAUAAAUGGGUAAACAUUGAAAACAUUACGUAACUGGGAGUGAAAAUUGCAAUUAUUUUUCAUGAACGAGGAAUUCCAAGUAAACGUAAGUCAUUAGCUUACAUUGAUUACGUCCCUGCCCUUUGUACA
rnacentral:misc_RNA from 1 species